rnacentral:lncRNA from 1 species
AAGAAAUCCAGCCAAUCUUUUCACUUGUUUGUUUCCAUCUUCCUUAAGUUCCUCGAAGGUAACAAAGAAUACUUUCCAAGGCCUUUUAAGGCUUUCUUCCCUGUAAGCCAAAACAUGAUCAUAAUACGGGCCGAAAGGUAAAACCCCAUUGCAGAACUGAUCAACAGCAGCCUCUAGUGUCCAUGGAUCUUCGUGGAAUUUCUUUGCUUUUUGUAUGAAAUGCCAAAGGGAAACGAGAGUGUCCUUUGGAUUUCUUGUAACAUAAACAAUUUUACAAUCUGAGGAGUUGAGGACAUCGCCUAUAAUCUGGUAAGGAAUAUGGGUUCCAAGAAUUCUAACUUUUUGAUCAGUAAAUUCAGGGUCUUUUCCAUUGGAUUCAAGAAAUAGUUUUGUUUCUAGAGAUGGAAUGAGUUCAUGGGGGUGGUUGAAAAUCAGGGAUUUUUCUUCUGAAGAUCUGAAAAUAAUGGAAUGUAAAAGAGCUUUAAGCCAUGUAGUGCCAGUUUUGGGGAAAGAAGCAAGAAUUACAUCAGUUGGAAGUGGCUUGAAAUUCUCAACAACCUUUUUUGUGGAUUCAAGAUAAGUUGUCCAAAUCCAAGAGCCCUUAAAUUUGUAGAGAAAUUCAUCAGAAAACCAUUUUUGUUUUUGUGAAGUUAAUGACCAUGCACUUAUACUUACUCAUCAUUUAUGAAUAAAGAUAAAGGGCGUAAUAAAGAACAUUAGUUCAUAGUUCCCGUUCCUUAUGUAAAGCAAGUGCAGAUUUUGAAAAAUCAAAGCAGAACCUUUGCAAUGUUUGCCGGGAUGCUUGUUGGAACGACAUUUUUGGUAAGAUAGCAAGUAACAUAGGUGAUGAGACAAUAAAUUUUGGCUAUAGGUAACGAAUACACAUAAAACUAAAUUGCAUUACACCCAUACUAAGAUAGAACAUACGUUGUUACGUCCUUCAUAAGUUCUAGUACAAACAUAAUUCGAUUAACAAGUUCAACCCAAUAAAACUAAUCAAGUGGCCUCCUUUGUUUCCCGUUUCCUUCCAAACUUUCAUUUCCCUUGCCAAAAGUAAUGUUCAAGUUAAUCUCUACAUCUCGUUCGUAGGAUAUUCGAGCUAGAGUUUUGAACAUUCUUGGCAAAUCUUCGACUUCUUCAUUUUGCCGCAACAUUGAGCGCUUCAUUAAUGGUACUCGAUUCUCCACUUGACUCUCCUUGUUCUACCCAUUCGAAAAAUCCACAUUUCUUAUUGCAUGUGUUGAAUAAUCGCCCUUUGUUACACGUCUGCUUUUCAACUUUAAAACAUUUUUGAAAUCCAUGUGCACACCUUGGGCAACGACGUUUUCUAGGGCAUUCAUUGAAAAAAUGCCCAUUGCUUCUACAGUUGUGACAAAUUUCAGCAUUCCUUCCUUUCAUAUCCUUAGAUGGAAAACAAGCACAUAAAUUAGUUGUACAAACCAUGAACCCCAAAUUGUUCAAAGCAGAGCAACAUGUGAAAUAAAUAAAUCAAUUGCAAAAAAACAUCUCCGUUACUCAUCGUUUCUGCCCAAUCAAAAGAAUAAUCUGGUAAACUAUUUACGAAUAAGUUGCCAACAACUAUAAGGUUGCACAUCAAAAAUCAUAUCUAGUAAAGACUUGCAAGAUGAUACAACCAUAGUAAAAGCUACCAUUACACCACUUAAAUCAAGUCGUUGCCAACAAUCAAUUUGUUGCACGUCAAAAUCAAACAAAACGCCAAUUCAUUUACUAUAGACGAUACAUGAACUCUUUAGAUCGCAACCAUCCAUCGAUCAACGACACAUUUAACAACCUAAUUAUUGGAAUACUAUUAUACGCAUCAAUAUUUAUUUAACAGGGUCUAAAUGGCAUCCAGGAUAGAUUUUAGUCAUAAUUCUAAACAUGGUUAACAUGGUUUAAAAGUAUGAAACCUAUAUAAUUAACGGUUAAUUAGAAAAUCAACUCAAGCAUAGAACACACAAUAUAAUGUCGAGAAUCUCUAAUGCAUAUUCAAGAGUCUAGUCUAGAAUCUGGAUGCAUUAACGGUUAAUUGCAAAAUCAACUAAAGACAGUAAAUUGAAAACAAGUGCGAGUACAAUGCAGGAAAAAUGACGUGCCUCCAGUCCAGAAUCAAUCGGACGUACAAAACAAAUGCGAUCUAACAAGAAUGUUGCAGUAGCUUAUGUAUAAUAGCAUGCUUCUAAUCUCCGAAAAUCUGCAAUGAAAAUGCUUGCUGGAGCCGCAGGAUAAUGCCUGAACCACAGCGUACUGAAGACUGCAGUUAAGUCGAAAGGAAGCCCAUUUCUCGAGCAUCUGACCGCAUCGAGUGGUGUACAGGUCGCUGGAGUUUAUACUGUGACUGGAGGUGGAAAGUCGUCGAGGAAUAUGGUGGGUGUGUCGUUGACUGCGUGAGAGGGGUUUCGGAGAGCUGAAAUCGAGGGUACAGGGUGCGCAGGCUUCAGUCCAGCUCUCCAGUGUUUAGAUUGACUCCGGCGGUGGGGAUGUGGCUGAGCGUCGAUCGGAAAUGGGGCUUGUGGAAGAGCUGGAGAAAACGAAUUGGGGGAGGGGGGAAAUGAGGCGCGGUCUACUAAUUCUCCCUCCUUUUGUUCUCUGUAUCUGUCGUUUUUUUCUUUUUUUUUUUUUAAUUCUGCAAACGUCACCAAUUUUUUGAAUCCCUGUAGAAGACCUGAACCACCCCCUGUACCCCAAGCAUUAUUCAAAAAAGAAAGGGGGAAGGACCACUGCAGCACCGGUAUAACUUCUGUGAGAAAUUCCCUAGAUGAAUUACUCAAUUAUGAAUUUUCAGUUGGACUCGAUCAACAAUUUUCCAAUCAAGACCCCUUAUUUGGGCUCCAUUUUAUUGAAAUGUAGGGAAAAAUAUGUUUUAAAAUAUUGAUAUUUUUGAACAAUGUGCAGUUAAAAAAAAGAAAUAUUUAGAUUUAUUUGUAAUAUUAUUUUAUAGAAUAAUGUGUGGUUGAAAGGAAGAAAGAAAAAAAAAGCAUUAUAAUUUUAAUGGUGGCCAAACAGGGGCUUAAGAGAAUGGAGAGGUCAUGCGUCUGAUUUUUUCAUGUCCUUAUCUUGGAAAAAAAAUGUAUUAUUGAAUGUUGAUUUUUUGGAGAAUGUGUAGUUAUAAAGUCAAAGAAAAUCGAUUUACAUGUUAAAUUUUUUAUUGAAGAAUAUGUGGUCGAAAAUAAGUUUGAAGAAAUGGGACUCGAACAAGGACUUAAGAGUUUAUUUGCAAAGAUUUUCCAAAAAGAAAAAUGAUUUUUUAGAAUGUGUUGUCAAAAAGCAGAUAAAAUUAUGGAUCUAAAAAAUUGUGUGAUUAAAAAUAAAGCUGUUAAUAAAAAAUAGAGUUCAAUUGAAUGCUUAAGCCCUUGUUUGAUGGCCCUUAUUGAGAAAAUUUGAUAUUUUGAAUAAUGAUUUUUUGAAGAAUGAGUGGUUAAAGGUAAUAAAAAUUUUGGAUUUACGUCUAAAAUAUUUUAUUGUGUUAAUGCAUAAUUAAAUCGAAUAUAAGAAUUAAAGAAUCUUGUUUUUAUGGGAGACAAAGAGUGACUAAAUUUCAAAUUUACAUUUUCAAAGAGCUGUUUGUAGAACAUUUUAAAGUAAAAAUUCUACCCAUUUGAAUACGAAAAUAAAAGUUCGCAAAUUUGACUCUCCACCUUUUGGGUUGGAAUAUACAAAAAUUAACAAAAACGAUUUUUUUUUUUCAUAAUUAGGCUAUAUUUUUUCAAAAAAAUACAUUCUUAAAUAUAAUUUGACAUCAUUUCAACCACACAUUCUUCAUGAAACAGACACGCUUAAUCCUAGUUUUGAACAAAUGGUACACAUAACUAUAUAGUAGAAUUGCAGACACUACCGCCAUCCAACAUAACAAACAUGGGAGUUGGGACAUGUCUUUCGAGUUCAAAACACAAUUGUCGAAACAACUGAAAUAAAUUCCAAACAUUGGAGUUGGGACAUGUCUUUCGAGUUUGAAACACAACUGUUGAAUCAUCUGAAUUAGAUUCCAUAAACAAAUCCAGAAGCAUGAAACUUUUGUCUUGUAAUAGCAUCAAUUUGGUGAAUCAUUUCAGGCUUCAAGUAGUUUAUGUGAUCACCAACUUUCCCAUUUCUGAAAAAUGAAUUAUACGGCAAUGGAAAACACUCUGGCGUCUCACUCGACUUGUUAACUUCGUGAUUACUCAACGUUUCAAAGCCACAACUUUUCACAAUUUCCUCAAUUUUUUCUUCUGCAUUUUCACCUUCAAAUGGACACCCAAGAAAUCCAGCCAAUCUUUUCACUUGUUUGUUUCCAUCUUCCUUAAGUUCCUCGAAGGUAACAAAGAAUACUUUCCAAGGCCUUUUAAGGCUUUCUUCCCUGUAAGCCAAAACAUGAUCAUAAUACGGGCCGAAAGGUAAAACCCCAUUGCAGAACUGAUCAACAGCAGCCUCUAGUGUCCAUGGAUCUUCGUGGAAUUUCUUUGCUUUUUGUAUGAAAUGCCAAAGGGAAACGAGAGUGUCCUUUGGAUUUCUUGUAACAUAAACAAUUUUACAAUCUGAGGAGUUGAGGACAUCGCCUAUAAUCUGGUAAGGAAUAUGGGUUCCAAGAAUUCUAACUUUUUGAUCAGUAAAUUCAGGGUCUUUUCCAUUGGAUUCAAGAAAUAGUUUUGUUUCUAGAGAUGGAAUGAGUUCAUGGGGGUGGUUGAAAAUCAGGGAUUUUUCUUCUGAAGAUCUGAAAAUAAUGGAAUGUAAAAGAGCUUUAAGCCAUGUAGUGCCAGUUUUGGGGAAAGAAGCAAGAAUUACAUCAGUUGGAAGUGGCUUGAAAUUCUCAACAACCUUUUUUGUGGAUUCAAGAUAAGUUGUCCAAAUCCAAGAGCCCUUAAAUUUGUAGAGAAAUUCAUCAGAAAACCAUUUUUGUUUUUGUAUUGCUGAAUCAGGAUGAGGGUUUUGGUAUGCAAAAGCUUCCAUUGUUGAAGAAGAAAGGCUUCAAUUGAUGAAGAAUUCAGUAGUCAUUUUCAUUUUAUGCAGUAAAGAAGAAGGUGAUAGAAAAGUUGGUUGGCAAUUUAAUUACUUAUAGAAAAGUUUGUUGGCAAUUUA